UACGUAGGGUGCAAGCGUUGUCCGGAUUUAUUGGGCGUAAAGAGCUCGUAGGCGGUUAAGUAAGUCAGAUGUGAAAUCCCCAGGCUCAACCUGGGAACUGCAUUUGAAACUCCCUUUCUUGAGUACCGGAGAGGAAAGUGGAAUUCCUGGUGUAGAGGUGAAAUUCGUAGAUAUCAGGAGGAACACCAGUGGCGAAGGCGGCUUUCUGGACGGUAACUGACGCUGAGACGCGAAAGCGUGGGGAGCAAACAGG
rnacentral:rRNA from 1 species